GGCUUAGUCUGCCGGUGUUUUUGCAUGACAGCCGCUUAAUUAAAUGCCGGUCGACGUUUAGUCCGCCCCCGCGAAGAAAAAGGAGAGGGAGAGGGGGAAGGUUCGGGGGGAGCGAGGGCUCAGGAGGAGUGGAAGGAGGGAAGGUUUGAGAGCGCCUAGAUGAUGGGCGUGGACGGUAGCGGCAAGGGGAGGCAGGUGCGGGGCGGGGCGGCCCUGCGGGACGAGGUGGGGCAGCGGGCGGUAACCCAGGGGCGGGAGGGGAGCUCCCAAUGACAUGAGAACACUUUGAGUUCUUUCUAGCGACGAAGAUAUCCCAACAACGUCUUACCGAAUACCACCUCUACUCGUCGUUUCGGUCCUAAUAGAUAAGUUUUAACAAGACGAACCACUGAGAAGACAACCGUUUAGUUUAAACGAUCGGUCUAAACGAUCCUUACUCAAGAAAGGUUUCAGGUUCAGGUGUUAUCCUCACCUUAAGGUCUGGGUCUUUAACCACUAUCUACCUUUCCUUUAAUUUCGAGUCUAUACCCUGUGUCGUCCUGUUCUUGCAAAGUCUCGUCAGUGUAGACGGAUGAUGUCUCCUCGGCAACCUCGAGAAGACCAAAUACUAUAAUGGUCCGCGGUCUGUAAACUGUCACAACCGGCUACCGAAUUACUUGACGUACGAGUAAGGCUGUACUUGCAGCAGUGUUAAGACUAACCGUUGUUCUGGCUGGAGUUCGUACGCGCCCUCCACUCGUGGCGCCUUCCGUUUCGGGACCGGCUCCGGGUCCCGGAGAAGAAGUACCUUUGGAGCCGAGACCUGAGCAGCUUGCAGUGUCGUCGAAAGGUCUGGUAUCAGUUCCUCUAGAUGUCGUAUGAUUCGUCCUUCCACAAGGUUAGAGUUCUCGUCUUCUUUUCGCUCGACGUCAGCGAUUCAUUGCCCUUUCGGCACCACGACGUCUUGCUGCGGGGGUCGCUGUGUUCGCCACCGCCCUCCCCAGGACCUGAACUACUGGUGCUCUCCCAGGGACAACGCACGGCAUCCUACACU
rnacentral:rRNA from 1 species